GGCCAGACUCCUACGGGAGGCAGCAGUGGGGGAUAUUGCACAAUGGGGGAAACCCUGAUGCAGCGACGCCGCGUGGGUGAAGAAGUAUUUCGGUAUGUAAAGCCCUAUCAGCAGGGAAGAAAGAAGACGGUACCUGACUAAGAAGCCCCGGCUAACUACGUGCCAGCAGCCGCGGUAAUACGUAGGGGGCGAGCGUUAUCCGGAUUCACUGGGUGUAAAGGGAGCGUAGACGGCCGUGCAAGCCAGGAGUGAAAGCCCGGGGCCCAACCCCGGGACUGCUCUUGGAACUGUGCGGCUGGAGUGCGGGAGGGGCAGGCGGAAUUCCUGGUGUAGCGGUGAAAUGCGUAGAUAUCAGGAGGAACACCGGCGGCGAAGGCGGCCUGCUGGACCGCGACUGACGUUGAGGCUCGAAAGCGUGGGGAGCAAACAGGAUUAGAUACCCCGGUACU
rnacentral:rRNA from 1 species